GCCGGAGUGGCGGAAUGGCAGACGCGACCGACUCAAAAUCGGUUGACCGCAAGGUCAUGGGGGUUCGAGUCCCUCCUUCGGUACCA
rnacentral:tRNA from 1 species